rnacentral:tRNA from 1 species
CUCCAGGUGGCACAAUGGGUCAGUGCAUCUGACUGUUAACCAGAAGGUUGGUGGUUCGAGCCCAGGCCUGGGGC